rnacentral:rRNA from 1 species
GACGUAGGGCGCGAGCGUUGUCCGGAUUUAUUGGGCGUAAAGAGCUCGUAGGCGGCUCGUUGCGUCGGCUGUGAAAACCCGCAGCUCAACUGUGGGCUUGCAGCUGAUACGGGCGGGCUGGGAUUCGGUAGGGGAGACUGGAAUCCCUGGUGUAGCGGUGAAAUGCGCAGAUAUCAGGAGGAACACCGGUGGCGAAGGCGGGUCUCUGGGCCGAUACUGACACUGAGGAGCGAAAGCGUGGGGAGCAAACAGG